GACGAACGCUGGCGGCGUGCCUAAUACAUGCAAGUAGAACGCACAGUUUAUACCGUAGCUUGCUACACCAUAAACUGUGAGUUGCGAACGGGUGAGUAACGCGUAGGUAACCUGCCUGGUAGCGGGGGAUAACUAUUGGAAACGAUAGCUAAUACCGCAUAAUAUUGAUUAUUGCAUGAUAAUUGAUUGAAAGAUGCUAUUGCAUCACUACCAGAUGGACCUGCGUUGUAUUAGCUAGUAGGUGAGGUAACGGCUCACCUAGGCGACGAUACAUAGCCGACCUGAUAGGGUGAUCGGCCACACUGGGACUGAGACACGGCCCAGACUCCUACGGGAGGCAGCAGUAGGGAAUCUUCGGCAAUGGACGAAAGUCUGACCGAGCAACGCCGCGUGAGUGAAGAAGGUUUUCGGAUCGUAAAGCUCUGUUGUAAGAGAAGAACGGGUGUGAGAGUGGAAAGUUCACACUGUGACGGUAUCUUACCAGAAAGGGACGGCUAACUACGUG
rnacentral:rRNA from 1 species